rnacentral:rRNA from 1 species
AACAGGAUUAGAUACCCUGGUAGUCCACGCCGUAAACGAUGUCGACUUGGAGGUUGUGCCCUUGAGGCGUGGCUUCCGGAGCUAACGCGUUAAGUCGACCGCCUGGGGAGUACGGCCGCAAGGUUAAAACUCAAAUGAAUUGACGGGGGCCCGCACAAGCGGUGGAGCAUGUGGUUUAAUUCGAUGCAACGCGAAGAACCUUACCUACUCUUGACAUCCAGAGAACUUAGCAGAGAUGCUUUGGUGCCUUCGGGAACUCUGAGACAGGUGCUGCAUGGCUGUCGUCAGCUCGUGUUGUGAAAUGUUGGGUUAAGUCCCGCAACGAGCGCAACCCUUAUCCUUUGUUGCCAGCGGUUAGGCCGGGAACUCAAAGGAGACCGCCAGUGAUAAACUGGAGGAAGGUGGGGAUGACGUCAAGUCAUCAUGGCCCUUACGAGUAGGGCUACACACGUGCUACAAUGGCAUAUACAAAGAGAAGCGACCUCGCGAGAGCAAGCGGACCUCAUAAAGUAUGUCGUAGUCCGGAUUGGAGUCUGCAACUCGACUCCAUGAAGUCGGAAUCGCUAGUAAUCGUGGAUCAGAAUGCCACGGUGAAUACGUUCCCGGGCCUUGUACACACCGCCCGUCACACCAUGGGAGUGGGUUGCAAAAGAAGUAGGUAGCUUAACCUUCGGGAGGGCGCUUACCACUUUGUGAUUCAUGACUGGGGUGAAGUCGUAACAAGGUAACC